CAGGACGAACGCUGGCGGCGUGCCUAACACAUGCAAGUCGAACGGAGUAAAACGCUGAUUUGAUGGUAGCUUGCUACUGGAUUUUCUUGUUUUGCUUAGUGGCGGACGGGUGAGUAACGCGUGAGUAACCUGCCUUACAGUGGGGGACAACAGUUGGAAACGACUGCUAAUACCGCAUAAAGUAUUCGAAGGGCAUCCUUUGGAUACCAAAGAUUUAUUGCUGAGAGAUGGCCUCGCGUCUGAUUAGAUAGUUGGUGAGGUAACGGCUCACCAAGCCGACGAUCGGUAGCCGGACUGAGAGGUCGAUCGGCCACAUUGGGACUGAGACACGGCCCAGACUCCUACGGGAGGCAGCAGUAGGGAAUAUUGCGCAAUGGGGGCAACCCUGACGCAGCAAUACCGCGUGAAGGAUGAAGGUUUUCGGAUUGUAAACUUCAGCAAACAGGGAGGAAAAAAAUGACGGUACCUGAACAAAAGCCACGGCUAACUACGUG
rnacentral:rRNA from 1 species